AACGAACGCUGGCGGCAUGCCUAACACAUGCAAGUCGAACGAGACCAAGGCUUCGGCCUGAAGUCUAGUGGCGCACGGGUGCGUAACGCGUGGGAAUCUACCCUUGGGCUCGGAAUAACAGUUAGAAAUGACUGCUAAUACCGGAUGAUGACGUAAGUCCAAAGAUUUAUCGCCCAGGGAUGAGCCCGCGUAAGAUUAGCUUGUUGGUGAGGUAAAGGCUCACCAAGGCGACGAUCUUUAGCUGGUCUGAGAGGAUGAUCAGCCACACUGGGACUGAGACACGGCCCAGACUCCUACGGGAGGCAGCAGUGGGGAAUAUUGGACAAUGGGCGAAAGCCUGAUCCAGCAAUGCCGCGUGAGUGAUGAAGGCCGUUAGGG
rnacentral:rRNA from 1 species